UGGGUCGUUAGCUCAGUUGGUAGAGCAGUGGACUUUUAAUCCAUGGGUCCAGUGACGCAUGGAGCGGACUAGUACUAAUGGUUCGAGGACUUAACCA
rnacentral:tRNA from 1 species